rnacentral:rRNA from 1 species
GACGAACGCUGGCGGCGCGCUUAACACAUGCAAGUCGAACGGAAAGGCCUGCUUUCCCUUGUGGAUUGCGGGUACUCGAGUGGCGAACGGGUGAGUAACACGUGAGUGAUCUGCCCCCAACUUGGGUAUAAGCCUGGGAAACUGGGUCUAAUUCCCGAUAGGACUGCAGGGUGGUGCCUGUGGUGGAAAACGAUUUUCUAGUGGUUGGGGAUGAGCUCGCGGCCUAUCAGCUUGUUGGUGGGGUAAUGGCCUACCAAGGCGGCGACGGGUAGCCGGCCUGAGAGGGUGGACGGCCACAUUGGGACUGAGAUACGGCCCAGACUCCUACGGGAGGCAGCAGUGGUGAAUAUGGCACGAUGGGCGGAAGCCUGAUGCAGCGACGCCGCGUGGGGGAUGACGGCCUUCGGGUGGUAAACUCCUUUCGACAGCGAGGAAGCCACCUGGUUGGAAGGGUGGUGACGGUAGUGGGAGAAGAAGCACCGGCUAACUACGUG